rnacentral:rRNA from 1 species
GACGAACGCUGGCGGCGUGCUUAACACAUGCAAGUCGAGCGGUAAGGCCCUUUCGGGGGUACGACGAGCGGCGAACGGGUGGAGUAACACGUGGGUGACCUGCCCUCAGCUCUGGGAUAAGCCUGGGAAACCGGGUCUAAUACCGGAUAUGACUCCAUGACGCAUGUUGUGGGGUGGAAAGCCUUGUGCGGCUGAGGAUGGGCCCGCGGCCUAUCAGCUUGUUGGUGGGGUGAUGGCCUACCAAGGCGACGACGGGUAGCCGGCCUGAGAGGGCGACCGGCCACACUGGGACUGAGACA